rnacentral:rRNA from 1 species
CAGUCGCCGCGGUAAUACGUAGGGUGCGAGCGUUAAUCGGAAUUACUGGGCGUAAAGCGUGCGCAGGCGGUUCGUUAAGACAGAUGUGAAAUCCCCGGGCUUAACCUGGGAACUGCAUUUGUGACUGGCGAGCUAGAGUAUGGCAGAGGGGGGUAGAAUUCCACGUGUAGCAGUGAAAUGCGUAGAGAUGUGGAGGAAUACCGGUGGCGAAGGCAGCCCCCUGGGCCAAUACUGACGCUCAUGCACGAAAGCGUGGGGAGCAAACAGGAUUAGAUACCCCUGUAGUCCCUGUCUCUUAUAC